AAGACUGGAUUACUAGAGGGGUACAGAGAGACUAGCACCUGGGGAAGGGCAGGUGUUAGCCGGGACCCAGGGAGAGCUCCUGAUGGGCUGCCAGGACUCACAGUCUUGAGGCCUUGGGAAAUGGGCAAAGGAGCUGGAGCCAGAGGCAGUAGGAACUAAGGCUGCGAAGAAGUGGCCCAGGGGAUAGAGACAGUGAGCUGGAAGGAAGAGGCAGCAGGGGUUGGGGCCCUGAGUAGUGGAUGGGACUGGGCACCCCCCAACACACUAGUCACUGAAGGAGCGGCCCAGCUGUGGACUGCCAAGCUGCUGCGAGGAGUUAUUGGACUCUUGUUGAAGGAGUCCCCUGGAAUGGGGGGGAACGGAUGUUGACACGGCCAGAGGGCUGUGCCACAAAUCAGACACUGAGAGAUAGGAGCUGUAACGGGUCUGCAGGUGGUAGUGAGGAUGGGAAAACCACCACCACUGGAGGGUGCACCCGCUGGGAUGGAGCUAAUUCCUAAAAUGCCCAGCAGGAGGCAUCAAUGUGAUAUCUUUGAGAACCUUCUGAUGGAACAAACUCUAGAGGGAUACUAUGAAAGAAGAUCAGCUGAUCUGGAGAUAUAUCCUGGAGAACAUAUUGACAGGCAAACAGAUUAGUAUGCUUGUGAGCCUCCCUUCUGCAUCAGGAAACUGUCUUCAGCAGAACAUCAAAUACCAAGAAAAACAGAUCCUUAAGUUAUCUGUGUUUCUAUCAAUAUCAGAAGAUACCAAGAGUAUGCAAUAGUGAAAGGGAGAUAGGACACAAAGACUGGUCAAGACCAUUUCUUUGUGCACAAACCAGAACAAUUGAGCAUUAACAUGGUAAAACUGAAGCUGAUGUCAACUCAAGAUGCAUAGAGAAAGAGUGCUAAGUACUAGUUACAGUACUGAACUGCAGUCUUUAUCCAUCUGUAACAAAAACUCAUGCUAAAUCUGUUAAACCUACUUGAUG